rnacentral:misc_RNA from 1 species
AAGAUAGAUUCGCUCACUCCCUCCUGCCGCCUCACACCUCGCACCUCACCACCACCACCACAACCACCACUACUACAACUACAACCACCACCACUACUACAACUACCACCACCACCUCGCCACACGCUAUUCUGUAUCCUGACCUAACGAGCAAACUGACCUAACCUAACCUAACCUAACCUGAUUUAAUUGAACUAUCAAGCUAAUCUGACAAGCACUUAACCUAACCAACCUAACAUUACGUAAUCUAACAUAAGCUAAUCUAACUUAACCUUCUAACCUAACCUAACCCAUCUUAACCUAACGUAACAUAGCUUAAUCUGACCUAACCUAACCUAACCUCACCACCUCACACACUCAUUCUGCACCGUGACUCAACUUGACCUAACCUAACGUAACUUCACCUAACCUUUACCACCUCACACACACUCACUCCGCACCGUGGCCCAACUAACCUAACUUGACCUCGCCUGACCUGACGUAACCAUGGUGGACGUGAUCGCAAUCCUGGGGCUGUCCGUGGCGGUGGUGGUGCUGGUGUGGCUGGCGACCUGUGGGACUACCUGCCGCCCUCCUUGGAAGUGCUGCAGGCGUCGCAAUCAAGCCCAAGACGUGGUGACGAUACAAGUGGACCUGAGGAGUGGCGAGGUACGAACAUGCACCAACAGUCUGAGCGCGGCCUUCUCCCAGUCACCCCUGCACAUCACACAGGUCUCCAGAUUGUCACAGCAAGGCAUGCAGGAUGAGGAGAAGGUAACGCCGGGGACUCCCACACGCACGCACACCUCGCUCACCACCACAGCCACGCAGACUCGCUUCUCCUCGCCUUCCAUCCUCAGCACGACAGCGUCAGAAUACUCGUCGGAAGUCGCGCCGCUUGACAAGAGCAUGUGGGAGAGUCUAAGCCCGUCCACCAGUCCCACGAGCACUGAACGCUCCCUCUCCAACACGUCAGGUUACAUCAAUACCACGUACUUCGAGGAGGCCACACAGGCGACCAGAGAGCUCCUACACAGUCCCGCCUCGCUCAGCAUCCGAGAGGCUCCCAAGGCAGGGGUGUUGAUAGAGCUGGAAAGGCUGGACGGCCGCACCAGCUCCUCGUCUCUCCCGUUCACCUCAGGGUCUUCAGAUGACUCCAGCCUGACCAGAAGCACCUCGACGCUUCUUGCAAAAUCAGAGUCUUGUAUCUUCCCUGAUUUGCUGGAUUCUGGUGUGUCUCCCUGUCCUCCCUGCCUGGACACUGACGAAAACAAGGAAAAUAUUGACCCUGACGAGAACAAGGAGAACAUUGACCCAAAUGCCAUCCGCCCUUCGUGUUCUGGCGUAGCAUUGAACCCUGAACUCCCUGAACGCACUCUUAAGCAGACCCCUGAACGUGCCCCAGAGCCAACCACUUCACUAAAAAUGGAUGGAGAGAGGCAGAAUCUAUUACCUCGGUCUGUGGAGUGCGAGGCGGGACCACUACCAGACUCACAGCAGGACCCACAGCCAGACUCGUCCACCUCACCCACCACUCCCGCCUCCCCCGCCUCGCCUGCCGCCAAGGAGGAGGAGGAGGACGCCCCGGUGCCAGACUCAGACAUAGAGAGUUAUCACACCUGCGAGGACAACGCCAGUGACAUGGAGGAGGACACAAACACCAAGGAAACGAUUGACUUGAAGAAUGACUGUGAUGUUUUGGGUGUGCUGAGUGAGUGAGUGAGUGACUGAUAAAGUGCCCAAAAGAGUGAGUGAGAAACCAUUGCCUUUGCUACUGAAUAUGAUGUUUGAGUGAGUGUGUGUGUGUGUGUGUAUGUGUGUGUAUGUAGAGUAUUUUUAAGGUUUUAGAAUUAAUUAUGGUAAGAUUCCUACGAACAAGCGAGUGUAUGUGUGUGUACGAGUGUAUGUAGAGUAUUUUUAAGGUUUUAGAGUUAACUAUAGUAAGAUUCCUACGAGCACUGUCCUGGUGUGAGUCUUUCGGUCAGUUAACGUUACUUUAGCAUGUGUUUUAUUGACUGACCAAGCUCCUGCGGCUGAUUCUGCUUCCUAUGUAUGUUCUGAGCAUAAUCUGAACCUUUUUAAUCAUGACCAUGUGGAACUUCCUAUUGUGUCUCGGGAAAGUCUCAGUGGCUGGAUUUGUUACUUACUUUGUGUAUUCUGAGCAUAUGAGCCUUUAAUUUUAUCAUAUCGUGGGACUUGUUGUAUUUUGGGAUGGUUUUACAGUCACAUUCAGAAACGUCUUGCUCUCACUACAAGUUUUCGCUGUUUUUUUUUUUUUUUUUACUUUGUGUAUUCUGAGCAUAUGAGCAUUUUAUUAUUAUUAUUUUUUUUUUUAUCAACAUGGCAUUUAUUGUUGUAUCUUGGGAAGGUUUUAGUCAUAUUCAGAAACGCCUUGCACUCUUACAACGACAUUUUUUCAAGUCCCCGUAGACAACUAGCUAGGUUUUUCAUGACAGUUUCUCAUUAUAAUGUACCAGAAAUCUUGCUAAUCCAUCACCAGAACUUUAAAAAUACCCUUAAAAACAUGAGUAGCUUUAACUAUAGUCGCCGUGAGAAAGCAUAGCGUUUCUGAAUACUGGUUUUAGUACUGUGGUGUCACGGGAAGGUUUUAUGAAGUGUAUCAGAUUGACGAACGCGGGAAGGUUUUAUGAAGUGUAUCAGAUUGACGAACGCGGGAAGGUUUUAUGAAGUGUAUCAGAUUGACGAACGCGGGAAGGUUUUAUGAAGUGUAUCAGAUUGACGAACGCAAAACAAUAAAUCACAACACGA